GACGGCCUUCGGGUUGUAAACCUCUUUCAGCAGGGAAGAAGCCACAAGUGACGGUACCUGCAGAAGAAGCGCCGGCUAACUACGUGCCAGCAGCCGCGGUAAUACGUAGGGCGCAAGCGUUGUCCGGAAUUAUUGGGCGUAAAGAGCUCGUAGGCGGUUUGUCGCGUCUGCUGUGAAAGCCCGGGGCUCAACCCCGGGUCUGCAGUGGGUACGGGCAGACUAGAGUGCAGUAGGGGAGACUGGAAUUCCUGGUGUAGCGGUGAAAUGCGCAGAUAUCAGGAGGAACACCGAUGGCGAAGGCAGGUCUCUGGGCUGUUACUGACGCUGAGGAGCGAAAGCAUGGGGAGCGAACAGGAUUAGAUACCCUGGUAGUCCAUGCCGUAAACGUUGGGCACUAGGUGUGGGGGACAUUCCACGUUCUCCGCGCCGUAGCUAACGCAUUAAGUGCCCCGCCUGGGGAGUACGGCCGCAAGGCUAAAACUC
rnacentral:rRNA from 1 species